rnacentral:rRNA from 1 species
UACGUAGGGUGCGAGCGUUGUCCGGAAUUACUGGGCGUAAAAGAGCUUGUAGGUGGUUUGUCGCGUUGUUCGUGAAAUCUCACGGCUCAACUGUGAGCGUGCGGGCGAUACGGGCAGACUAGAGUACUGCAGGGGGAGACUGGAAUUCCUGGUGUAGCGGUGGAAUGCGCAGAUAUCAGGAGGAACACCGGUGGCGAAGGCGGGUCUCUGGGCAGUAACUGACGCUGGAGAAGCGAAAGCGUGGGGAGCGAACAGG